GAAAAAAAAAAUAAAAAGGCGUUUGAAAAGUCACCUUUCUGCUUUUCACCUUUCACAGUGCUUCGGUGUUUGAAAGACAGACUGCUGUGUUCAGCAGAUCUGGCCUCGUAAUAUUCUGUAUACGCACACUAUUUUUGUUUGCUAUCAAUGUAUUUUAAUAUUUCAGCUCAUGUGAUAUUGUGGGUUUUUCUCUGUCAUUUACUUGUUGCUACAGCCUUAGCAAUAGGAGGAUGUGUUUGAUAGUGUAAUCCGAUGUCCUGCCAAAGACAAAUUUGGUUGCCUACCCAAAGAAGGAGCUAUUAGGGCUCACAGUUUCCUUAAUGGACUUAAUGGCUUUAAGUAAUGGCCCUUAAUGGCUUUCAUCAGCCUCACCGGGGGCCUCCACCCACACUCCCUGCCCUUGGGUGCAGGAGCCACAUAAAAGCCCUGGGCUGUUAGCUCGUAGAGCUUGGAUGCAUUGAGUUUGUGGUUUGAUUAUGACUUCCUGGCUGACUUUCUGGUGUGAUUUUGGACCUGCCUCAGGAGGCUGUUUGGUGAUGCAGACUCUCCACUUGAACCUGGGUUAUAUGUGCACCAGGUACUACUGCUCUGUCUGGCAGAUGGAGCCCUGGAGUGAGAGUAGCUGAGCUGCAGGAGUUCAGAACCAGAGUAAGCCUUGAAAUUUCCUUUAUCUGGAACUAUCCUGUACAGCAGCCAUGAUCCACCAAUAUCAUCAUUUGGUGAUGGAUCAGAGUCUACCUACUAUAAACCCAGUUGAAUUACAGGUGACCUUUUCCUGGAUAUCCACAAUAAGAUAAUUACCACUGGAGAGCAUACUCCUUGUAUUGCUGUUACUGCUUUGAGGCAGUUCACAAUGUAAAUAGAGAACAAGAGAAGGCAGAUGAAUACAAAUGCAUAAGGAAUGAGAAAAGUUGAGAAGAAAAGUGAUACCAUUAGUCAAUAAGCAAACACAAGAGCAAUCUAACAGCUUGACUUGGAGGGAGGUAAUUUUCAGAUGACACCUUCAUUCAAUUUUAUAUUUAAAAAUGUCAUGUGCCCUUUUUUCAUGAUACUGCACGGCUUUGGGAGUAUUGUGUACUGAAAUUUCAUGAGUCCUUCGGCUCGAAAAAGAGCACACCUAGGUAAAAGCAUUACAGAUCACAUGUUGAGCUAAAUGGGAAGCUUUUCAGCAGUCUUCUCAAUCUGGAUCAUUUUCACGCAGGUAAUGGCCUGCCUUUGAGCAUGCAGAAAGAACAAUGCUAUGAAUUCACAUAAAGGUCAAGGCCAGUGCAAGUGGUAAGAAGAAACAAAAGGAAGAAAAAGUUGCAGGGGUGCAGGGAUGUUGGAAAUGCUGAGGAGAGUGUGAUUAAAAUAGGAUGAGAACCUGAUCUUGCCUGGGUCAGCACAUUGCCAUUCAGACUGGCAUAAAUUGAAUUUAACAGGUGGGUUAAUUUCCACUGCAUCACACCAAACAUCCUUUAAGCCCAGAUAAAACUGACAAUAAAAGCUUGAGAAACAAUCA
rnacentral:lncRNA from 1 species